rnacentral:rRNA from 1 species
AUUGAACGCUGGCGGAAUGCUUUACACAUGCAAGUCGAACGGUAGAGGGGGCAACCCCUUGAGAGUGGCGAACGGGUGAGUAAUAUAUCGGAACGUGCCCAGUCGUGGGGAUAACGUAGCGAAAGUUACGCUAAUACCGCAUACGAUCUAAGGAUGAAAGCGGGGGAUCGCAAGACCUCGCGCGAUUGGAGCGGCCGAUAUCAGAUUAGGUAGUUGGUGGGGGUAAAGGCUCACCAAGCCAACGAUCUGUAGCUGGUCUGAGAGGACGACCAGCCACACUGGAACUGAGACACGGUCCAGACUCCUACGGGAGGCAGCAGUGGGGAAUAUUGGACAAUGGGCGAAAGCCUGAUCCAGCCAUGCCGCGUGUGUGAAGAAGGUCUUCGGAUUGUAAAGC